ACAUGAACAAUUUGUUUAAAUAUACAUGUUUAAGUGAUCUUUUUGAGGACAUAAUUCCACCCAAGUUAUUUUGCCCCAUUUGCUACUCGAAAGAAAUUAACUUGAUCCAUGUAUAACAAAAAACUGUUGUAAUAUUUUGUCAGUUGACCAAAUAAAACAUGAUGCCCUGGGUAAUAUCCAUAGAGAGGUGUCCUUCGUCACAUUCCUUUCCACACAAUAAAAGCUUAGAAAGCGUACUGGUAAGUUGAAACCUAAUAGUUUUAUUCAGAAGGAAGUUUUCAAACAAGAGAUUGUUGUUUUAUAAAGCUCCCCUGAAUGCUACAUUUGUUGACUUUAUCUAGAAGUGCGGUAUUGAUGUGUCUCUUUACUAAUCUUUUUUCUGAACAUACUGGAAACAUGUUGCACUGUGCCUGUAGGAUUGAUUAGGCUUAUAAAGAAAAGGUGGCUGUGAAUGAAUUGCUGAAUAGCAUCCCCUGUUGGCUUAUCUCUAAAAUGAUAAUGCAAAAAAUAGAAAAUAAAAAGAAAUUGUUUUUGCUGAGCAUGAUUUAUGUCAUUGCAUAAGAACGGAGUAAUUCAGCACCACAUUCUCGUGGAAACGCCUUGUGGUGACUUGUAGUAAAGGAGAAUUUCUGUCUGCAUGUACACUUUAGGUUAUUGUCUGCCCUGAAGUGGGUCCUUUCCACCAUUUAAAAAAACACAACUAUUCUUUGCUUUCCACCUCAUCUUUUAUUUAUUCUUUACAGAUAGUGGUGUUUGGAACAAGUUUUUUGGUUUUUUUGCUUUUUGUUUUUAAUCUUUGUCUUAGCUCUUAGCCAAUUAGUGCUUAUCUUUUGUCGUGGUUUUCAAGGAGAGCAGAUGAAGGGACAUUGAGAAAUAGCACUGAAACAACCUCUCGGAUGGAAGAAGCUUCAGCUCCUUUCUCACCCACCCUUUUUCGGAACUGUGGAACAAACCGAAUUAGGCCUCACCAGCUUUUCUUUUAGCCAACUGUGCCCUCCAGUGGAGAAAAAUCAGGGCAGUGAAAUAGCCCAGGUAAUAAGCAGCCGAGAGGAUGUAACACGUCCUGGUGAGAUCCGAGCCGCGUAACUAUUUUCUACGUGAAAGAAAGAGCGUGUUUUCCCCCCUCAUAAGCAGGAAUACUAGGCAUAAGCCUUCCUCUUCAUGAGCUUGUUGGAGAACCAAAGAGGAAUUAUUAGCAGUGCUUUGACUUAAUUGCCUUUAACAAAGUAGUUGAUGCAAUGCUGUGCUGCGUUUUGUCCCCCUUUUUAAUGACGUACUCGGUUAUGAAACAUUAGGCAGAUCUAGUAAGAGGAGAGUAGGGCAUAAUUGGAUUUUUUUCCCCCAGAGUGAACUCAGAUGAUGACUGUAUCAUUUUUAAUUUUUGCAGAGACAAAAGAAAGCCCCGGAUUAAUUUAGUGGAUGUAAACAAGAAAUAUUUUGCUGCUGCGCCUAUGUAUAUUUAAAGCACUCAGUAAAUUGAGUUGACCACUUCUCCCCUUUUUUUUUCUGAAUAGGAAGGGCUGCUGUUUUGUGCCUUGACUGUGGUCUCUAGGUGAACACGGGAGCUUCAUCUGUGGGAAUGGUGACUGCAUGCGCCUGAGCUCCUGAGAGCAUUGCAGCGGCACAUGCGCAGGACAUGGGCUGGUGCAAGCGCAGCUCUGGGCUGGGGAAUGGAGCCAGGGGUCCAGGGUGCUGAAUUCUGCCGCGUGAUGCUGUGCUCAUUGUGCCCGCAGGCGCCCUCUAUCUCCCUGCCUUUCCAGGGAGGGCGAAGUGGAAUUACCCAGUAGAAGGCGAAACAGAAAGGGAGAUUUGCCGUACAUUUUGUGUAGGUGGGAAUUUGGAGAUAUGUUUCACUGAAAGACUUCAGUGGGUGGUAUCUGAGAAAUGAUUUACACAGGCUUCCUUUUUCUUGACUCUUAGAAAAACCCAGCUCCACUGUCCUUACGAUGAAUUGCCACUUGUAGUUUGCUGCAUAUUCAAGAAAUGUAAGCUUCUUUUUAUAUCUCCUUUUAAUGAAGUAUAUGUUAAAUAAACUUUUUUAUAAUUAGAGUAAUUCUUAAAAUAAGUGACUUAAAAACACAGGUUAUUAAGCAAAGGUCUUUGCAUAGUAAACUUUAAAAGGCCUAGUGUCUUUCACUUGAAUCCAUCUUCUGUAAAACAACAUAGACACCUUAUAGAGACAGUGCCGGACUGAACUCACUAAAAAAAAAAAAAAAAAAAGCAAAUGUGGACUGUUAGAGAGGAAUUUUGAAGUUUUUGAGGGAAAAUUAUAAUAUGAAUAUAAUUUAAAUUUCUUAACAAUUCUUAACUUUUGUCACUUUUAUUUUAAAUAACGAAUUACUGUGUUUUAAGGUCUGGUUUAUUACGGACUGUAAUAACUGACUCUAGAGGGCGCUGAUGAGUACCAGAUCUUUCCUAAAAUUUUAUAUUGGUGAUUUUUAUUACAAUGCUGUUCCCUUUGGGUUUUAAUCUAGUGCUUGAACACAAAUACAUAUUUUGCCUCCCAAUACUUAGGAUUUUUAAAAAUUGGACAGGUAAUUUACCAUUGUACUUUGAAAUUCUUUGAAUAUUCCAUGGAACUUGUGCAAUUUCUAUAAACCACCUUUGGAUCCCGCUUUUGAAAGUUUGUUUAACAUUUCAAAAGAAAGAACAUAUAAAAUAUAAAUCUUAAAACAGGAUACAUUUUUCAUCUUUUGAAUCCAGAUAAGUUUGCAGAUAUUUUUUAUUUUAUCAUUAGAAAGAAGCUGCUUAAAAACUGUAUUCUAAAGUUAGAUUUUAUAGAAUUAACAUUUAGCUAUUAGAGUCCCGAGUAACGUGCUCUAUAUACUUUAGCAGAUAAAACAGUUUAAUACUAUAGCAUGGUAAUUUGAAGAAAAUGAUUAGUCUUAAAAUGGGAAGGCUUUUAGAGAAUUGCUUCUUUUUACCCAAACUCGGAAUAUGAUGAUUCUGAAGAUGUACAUUCAGAAAAAAAGUUUAUGUUACAGGAAGAAAAGUGUUAAAUAAAAUGAAUUGUCACUCGUUGGAAUAUUAGUCACUUCAGAAAAUGAAUUUUAAUAUAAACCUUUGCAUCCUAUCAACCUAUGAAAAAAUUAUUUCUUUUUUCCCUGACUACCCCACUAUUUAACAUUUCUUCUGAAAUAUCACACUGUUUUCACUACUGCAGGCAGAAAGCCAUAUUGGGAAAAAUUCUCUAGUAAUGUGAUAUGAACCUGUUUCCUUUCAUUUAAGGCAGUGUUCGCCAAUAGAACUUCCCAUGGUGGUGGAAAUAUUCUACAUCUGCUCGGUAUAGUUUGGUUGCUGCCAGCUACCUGUGGCUAUUGAGCACUUACAAGGUGGCUAGUGCAAUCGAGGAACUUUUAAGUUUUAUCUGAUUUUAAUUUAAAAGUAUAUUAACAACCACAUACGGCCAGUGACAGCUGUGUUGUUCAGCAUAGAUUUCGAGCGCCUCUGCAAGGUGAUGGAUGUAUCAGGGAUUGCAUUUUGACUCUAAUGGCGUGUAUGCGCACCCAUUCAGUCCUCCGCAGCUUUCUAAUCUUUCCUGAGAUACUGUAUCACAGGUAAACAUCUUGUUUUCAAAUAACCACGUGUAUGGGAAAAUAGGGGGAAUCGAGUCCUGAAACUGAAGUUGGUAAGUGGCUCAGAGUCUGUUUAGUUCUGGAGCCCUGUGGCUUUUAAAACCCCCAGAUUAGACUGUGUUUGCCCUUUGGGUGUGUCUCAAACCAUGAAGGUUUUCUUUCAUGUUUUUGAGAUAAAAUACACGUACACAGGAUAUGACAGGUGACGACUAAACGGAAUGACAGGUUAAACCAUGAAAGAAUCAGCAAACCAGAACUCACACGUACCUGUGCAGGAACUCUAUUUGGGAGUGGGUCUGCUUUUCUGAAUGCCCUUAAAUACAACAAGUCUUCCUAUCUUGCGAGUGAAACUUCGGUAUUGUGCUCCUAUCUGGUAAAUAAUGAUAAAAAGUUUGAAUAAUGCUUUAUAGUUUCCCUGGCAGUUGCAAUUCCAUUUUCUUGGAUCAUUACCUCCAUUUUACAGGUGAGGGAACCAUGAUUUCAUCAAAGUUUUAAGGUUCAUUCAUUCAGCAGACAUUUAUUGUUCAUUUACUAUUAUCUGUAGAUUUCUGUGUCAGGAAUGGAAGAAUGAGUCCUCUCCUGGAAGAACUAACCAUCUAGUGGGGGCAAUUAGACAAAUAAGAAGUUGUAAUAUUAUAGAUCCAAUAUUAUGCU